rnacentral:rRNA from 1 species
UACGGAGGGGGUUAGCGUUGUUCGGAAUUACUGGGCGUAAAGCGCACGUAGGCGGAUUAGAAAGUUAGAGGUGAAAUCCCAGGGCUCAACCCUGGAACUGCCUUUAAAACUCCUAGUCUUGAGUUCGAGAGAGGUGAGUGGAAUUCCAAGUGUAGAGGCGAAAUUCGUAGAUAUUUGGAGGAACACCAGUGGCGAAGGCGGCUCACUGGCUCGAUACUGACGCUGAGGUGCGAAAGUGU